rnacentral:lncRNA from 1 species
GAAACCAGAUGAGACCAAAGAUGAUAAGCGACAAAAGUGUGCAUCUAGCAAUGGACCGAACCAGAAGAAUAAAAAAGUGUGGGCUUGUGCUCUAUGCCAGGUCACAACCCAAAGUGAGGCUACCUUGAAUUCCCAUCUUCAAGGAAAGAGACAUCAGGCCACUUCUGAGCAGCUGAAAGCCAAAAACCAGGCAAUCAAAACCAAUGGCUCCCCAUCUGCUUCAAUGGCCAAGAAAUCUGAUGGGUCCACCAAAGAGGAGCAACUGAAGUGUACUUCCAACAAUCUGAAUUCCAAAAACAAUGGCAUCUCAGCUGCUUCAACAGUGAAGAAACCUGAUAAGACCAAAGAGGAUAAGCAACAAAAGUGUGCAUCUAGCAAUGGACCGAACCAGAAGAAUAACAAAAAUUGGGCUUGUGCUCUAUGCCAGGUCACAACCCAAAGUGAGGCUACCUUGAAUUCCCAUCUUCAAGGGAAGAGACAUCAGGCCACUUCUGAGCAGCCGAAAGGCAAAAACAAGGCAACCAAAGCCAGUGGUUCCCCAUCUGCUUCAAUGGCCAAGAAAUCUGAUCAGUCCACCAAAGAGGAGCAACUGAAGUGU